rnacentral:rRNA from 1 species
AUUGAACGCUGGCGGUAUGCUUAACACAUGCAAGUCGAACGGUAACAGGCCUUCGGGCGCUGACGAGUGGCGGACGGGUGAGUAACGCGUAGGAAUCUGCCUCAUAGUGGGGGACAACGUGGGGAAACUCACGCUAAUACCGCAUACGCCCUACGGGGGAAAGCGGGGGAUCUUCGGACCUCGCGCUAUGAGAUGAGCCUGCGUUAGAUUAGCUAGUUGGUAGGGUAAAGGCCUACCAAGGCGACGAUCUAUAGCUGGUCUGAGAGGACGAUCAGCCACACUGGGACGGAGACACGGCCCAGACUCCUACGGGAGGCAGCAGUGGGGAAUAUUGGACAAUGGGCGCAAGCCUGAUCCAGCAAUACCGCGUGUGUGAAGAAGGCCCUAGGGUUGUAAAGCACUUUCAAUUGGGAGGAAAACCUGCCGGUCAAUACCCGGCAGCUUGACAUUACCUUUAGAAGAAGCACCGGCUAACUCCGUGCAGCCGCCGCGGUAAGAC